rnacentral:lncRNA from 1 species
CCUAGCCUGCUGUUCAGUGGUACACAAUUAAAAUGUUGUUAAUUGAUAAAAUUCUGUUGAUUUUAGAUAAUUAACUUUCAACUUUAAUCAAAUGUUUUGAUUGAGAAGGUGCAGAUCUCUUCCAUUGGUCCAAUUUGACUCCAUUAUGAAUUCUUAACUAAGGAAAGGAAAUCACAUCAAACAACAAUUGAUUGCACUAUGGUCAACCUUUCUACAUGUUCUAGCUGUUCUUUUGUUCAUUCGUUGUAU